UAGGGAAUAUUGGGCAAUGGAGGGAACUCUGACCCAGCCAUGCCGCGUGCAGGAUGAAGGCGUUAUGCGUUGUAAACUGCUUUUAUAUAGGAAGAAAUAGUCCUUGCGAGGAAAGUUGACGGUACUAUAUGAAUAAGCACCGGCUAACUCCGUGCCAGCAGCCGCGGUGAUACGGAGGGUGCAAGCGUUGUCCGGAUUUAUUGGGUUUAAAGGGUGCGUAGGCGGUUUAUUAAGUCAGUGGUGAAAGACGGUCGCUCAACGAUUGCAGUGCCAUUGAUACUGGUAGACUUGAGUAUGAUUGAGGUAGCUGGAAUGGAUAGUGUAGCGGUGAAAUGCAUAGAUAUUAUCCAGAACACCAAUUGCGUAGGCAAGUUACUAAGUCAUAACUGACGCUGAGGCACGAAAGUGUGGGUAUCAAACAGGAUUAGAUACCCAGGUAGUCCCUGAGCGGGCUGGCAAGGCGCAU
rnacentral:rRNA from 1 species